rnacentral:rRNA from 1 species
UGGGGAAUAUUGCACAAUGGGGGAAACCCUGAUGCAGCGACGCCGCGUGAACGAAGAAGGUAUUCGUAUCGUAAAGUUCUGUCCUAUGGGAAGAUAAUGACAGUACCAUAGAAGAAAGCUCCGGCUAAAUACGUGCCAGCAGCCGCGGUAAUACGUAUGGCGCGAGCGUUGUCCGGAAUUAUUGGGCGUAAAGGGUACGCAGGCGGUUUAAUAAGUCGAAUGUUAAAGAUCGGGGCUCAACCCCGUAAAGCAUUGGAAACUGAUAAACUUGAGUAGUGGAGAGGAAAGUGGAAUUCCGAGUGUAGUGGUGAAAUAAGUAGAUAUUAGGAGGAAUACCAGUAGCGAAGGCGACUUGCUGGACACAAACUGACGCUGAGGUACGAAAGCGUGGGGAGCAAACAGG